GGCCAGGCCCAGCGCAACCCGAACUUGUGAACCCCGUCAGGACCGGAAGGUAGCAGCGGUAAGCAGUGUCAGGCUCUGUGCCGCAGAUCCGCCUGGCCCGA
rnacentral:SRP_RNA from 1 species